CUCGGUGGCAGGAAGAGGAGCACUGUGGCUAGGAUCUGGCAGAGUAGAGUAGGUUUGGGCCAGGCUGCUCCGCUUCCCGCUGCUGCCGGGAACCAAAGCUGGUCUCGAUGGCUGCUAGAUGCCAGGAUUUCUUCCCACCUACCCCAAUUUUUUUUAAGAAGACAAGCUGACAGUUUUUCUACCCACGUGAGCUUUUCCUUUGAUGAUGCUGAAUGUAGACACUGUGGUGAUUAUAGUGCUGUGAUUGGCCUCCAGCAGGUGUCCCACAAUGCCUGUUCUCAUC